CCAACUUUUAGAUGGUGAAACCGCGAAAGGCUCAUUAAAUCGGCUUUGGUUCCUUAGAUAGUUUGCAGAUUGGAGUUUCUCUCGACUUGUCGAGGAAAACAAAAUUCUGAAAUGGAUAACUGUGGUAAUUCUAGAGCUAAUACAUGAAAAAAAUUCGGUGCGAAACUGCGUUUGUUUUUUCGACAAACGUUAGGCUUUGCACGCUUUUAUUAGAGAAAAAAGCCAAUUUUACUAUUGUUCACGCGCGCGUGUGUAUSUUUAUAGCGAUGGUGUGACAAUUUAUAUUGUUUACAGUGUUGCUUUAACGUCGUCUGCGUGUGUGAAGCCAAUACUAAUUAAAAAUUUUGGUGUUGAAUCUGAAUAACUUGAAUGGAUUCUCUUUGAAAGAAUUUCAUUUCGAUUCGGAAUGGAGUUUGAUUAGAAGAGGGUUUAAAGCAGACCGCAUUAAAAAGCUGCAAACGAAACGAUGAGAGCGUUUCGCGCGUUCGAUUCAAUGUUUGUAGUUUAUGCGG
rnacentral:rRNA from 1 species